UACGGGGGGGGCAAGCGUUGUUCGGAAUUACUGGGCGUAAAGGGCUCGUAGGCGGCCAACUAAGUCGGAUGUGAAAUCCCCAGGCUUAACCUGGGAAUGGCAUUGGUGACUGCACGGCUAGAGUGUGUCGAGAGGGGGGUAGAAUUCCACGUGUAGCAGUGAAAUGCGUAGAGAUGUGGAGGAACACCGAUGGCGAAGGCAGCCCCCUGGGUCAAGAUUGACGCUCAUGCACGAAAGCGUGGGGAGCAAACAGG
rnacentral:rRNA from 1 species